rnacentral:rRNA from 1 species
AGUCGACGAGAACGGGAUAUAGCUUGCUAUAUUUGUCAGCUAAGUGGCGCACGGGUGAGUAAUGUACAGAUAACCUGCCCUUAAGAAAGGAAUAACAGUUGGAAACGACUGCUAAUGCCCUAUAUGCCUUUAAUACAUAAGUAUGCAAGGGAAACGCUUUAGUGCUUAAGGAUGGGUCUGUAUGGUAUCAGCUUGUUGGUGAGGUAAUGGCUCACCAAGGCUAUGACGCCUAACUGGUUUGAGAGGAUGAUCAGUCACACUGGAACUGAGACACGGUCCAGACUCCUACGGGAGGCAGCAGUGGGGAAUAUUGCACAAUGGACGAAAGUCUGAUGCAGCAACGCCGCGUGGAGGAUGACACAUUUCGGUGCGCAAACUCCUUUUAUAUAGGAAGAUAAUGACGGUACUAUAUGAAUAAGCACCGGCUAACUCCGUGCCAGCAGCCGCGGUAAUACGGAGGGUGCAAGCGUUACUCGGAAUCACUGGGCGUAAAGAGCGUGUAGGCGGGUAUAUAAGUCAGAAGUGAAAUCCAAUAGCUUAACUAUUGAACUGCUUUUGAAACUGUAUACCUAGAAUGUGGGAGAGGUGGAUGGAAUUUCUGGUGUAGGGGUAAAAUCCGUAGAGAUCAGAAGGAAUACCGAUUGCGAAGGCGAUCUACUGGAACAUUAUUGACGCUGAGACGCGAAAGCGUGGGGAGCAAACAGGA